rnacentral:rRNA from 1 species
AACGAACGCUGGCGGCGUGGAUAAGACAUGCAAGUCGAACGGGAUUAUUUUUGUAGCAAUACAGAAAUAAUUCAGUGGCGAACGGGUGCGUAACACGUGGGCAAUCUGCCGAAAAGUGGGGGAUAGCUCGCCGAAAGGACGAAUUAAUACCGCAUGUGGUGAGGGACGACAUCUUCCUGAAUCCAAAGCCGGGGCAACCUGGCGCUUUUUGAGGAGCCCGCGGCCUAUCAGCUUGUU